GCGUUGGUGGAUCUGUGGUAGAUCGUCCCAGUUUUAUAAGUGUUUCAAUUGAUCAUAAACAUCUGUGGGAAGACGGAGGUUCGAAUCCUCCCCAAAGCA